rnacentral:misc_RNA from 1 species
GGCUGGGCCGGCGUGUUGCCAUAACCGGAGUCGGCGUAACCCCCGGCAUAGGGAUUGGUUUGGCCCUGAUUGUAGGCCGGCUGGGUAUAGGUGCCCGCCGGCGCCUGCGCGUAGCCUCCCGUCCCCGGCGUCCCGGUGGCCGUAUUGUAGGCGUUGUACGGAUCAGUGCCGGUGGCCUCGUACGGAUUCUGCUCCAUAUCGUUGCCGGCUUGCAUGGUCUCGCACCCGGUGAAAACGAGCGCGGCACCCAUGGUGAAUGUCAAAACUGCGAAGCGGUGAACGGACAUGGCCGGAUGAAAUCGUGCGGGCGAAAACGGCUGACGGGAAUGCGCUUAAAAUUUAAGCACCCUUAAGCAAUUUGGCAACGAGUUUCUUUCCGGAAAAUCCAAUCAGGGCCCUCAGUCGGGCCAUUUUUUGAACGCCUCGAUGGCCUCGUACUCCGCCAUGCCGAGCUGGUCAUAGCGCCUUGCCGUAAGGCGAUUGCGCUCACCGGUGAGCAGCUCCGGCAGGUUGUGGGAAAGGAAUUUGUGCAUGGCGGCGAUUUUGUGCGUGAGUUGAUCGGGACUCAUGGGCACGGCCAUGUCGAUUUCGUGCGGGUCGAAUUCGUGCUGGUGCCCGCGGUAGAGCCAGACGUGGCAAUGUCCCCGCCACGCCGCACCGGCGCGCUCAUUGAUGGCCUGCCGGAAGGCCGCGAAGGCCAGCCCCUGCACGCUGCUGGGAUCCG